AGCUUCUUCCUGGGCUGUUCUGUAAGAGUGUGGACCUUCAGUCUGGCUCCUAGAAGCUCUUAGGCUGCCAUCUGGGUUGGCUGGUGCGCAUCCUGGUGCCUGCUGGAGGGCUGCUGAGACCCCUUGCUGCACCCAGCAGUGAGUUCCCUGGAUCUGCUUGCUCUGCUUCUCACGCUGCCCUGCCAGGAGGAGGCAGGGGCUGCACAAGGAGCUGGGAGAGAAGGGAACCAGGCCAGCUGACCCAGACUGGCCAAAGGGACGUCCUGCACCAUGUAGUGUCAUGGUCCACUGCAACUUUAAACCUUUUGAAUGACUAAGGCCUUGGGGAAAGGAUGUGAUGUACAAUGAGCAGCCCUGAUUCCCUAGGGCCCGGUGUGACAGUGCACCCGCUUCUGUCUGGCAGCCGAGACAAUCACCAGAUUGCUGUGCUGGGAGGACAGUCUGCACAGGAGAGGCAGGAACAUCUUUCCUUUGGCUAUGAUCAGUUGCCUAAGAAAUGCCAAGCCUGUUCUGGGAGGCUUUUGGACCAAAAUUCAAAGUCCUUGUUCCAUUUCAGCUGCAGAACUGAAGUGUGUCCUGUGACCUGUUGCAAUUAUUGCUAUUAACAAUCUUUUACAUGCUCUGUGCAGAUGCUUUAUGGAUCUCCCUGCACCCAGGUAGGGACAGGUCAAAUGCAGAACUGAUGUUAAAUGUUCAAGGUGAGGAAAUUAACAUGCUUGUUUUCAUUUUAUUCUAUUAGUACCAGUGUUUCUUAAACUUAGAUGUGAGACUGAAAUCUGAUUUAAAAUAAGCAUUUUAGCCAGUUUGGAAAAUGUAAAUGUAUAAUGAAUAGGUAUGAUAUAUGUAACUGCAGUGCUACAGAGCAGAAUAGGUAUGAAUAGAUAUUUUAAUAUCUUGUGUGGCUUCUAUGCCAAGAAGCUUGGUGGUUUUGACCUCCUGCCUUUCCAAGGUGCCCUUAGCACCCUGUAGAAGUUUAGAUUUGCAACGUGCUUAAGCAUGCACUAUAGAUCUUAAAUUGAAUUUUAUUUCUCACUUUCUGUGCCUGUACCUCAACACACAGCUAUCAAAAUUGUGUUAGCACUCUUUUUGGAAAGCAAUAUUGCAGGAGUAAUUUUCUGAAGCUUAGUGAGAAGAAAAGUACAGGUCUUCAUCUUUACAGCUUGGCAUUGUAAAAUUGUUGCUAAAAUACCCAUUUAAAAAGGAAAUCCUGCUAGCUGAGGCUCAAACUAGCUAUACCAAUGCAAGCAAUUUAAAUUGUUAUACUUUCUAGUAAAGAUUAUUCUUGCUGCUUCUAUAUGAAAACAUUAUUUCUUUGAGUUUCUAAAUAUAUUUGGACAAGGCUUGGGAAUGAUACCUGAUGCCCAAUUUUAUAUCCUAGUGCUAGUGCGUUAUUUGUAUUAAUACACAGAGGAGGACCAACUUCUCUUCUGUAGUCAGUCUUGUCCCUGCUCUGUAUGUGAAGCCUGGUAGCUUGCUAAGGAAAAUGGCAAACUUCCAGAGCCUCCCAGCCAGGGCCGUCACUGUUGACAUUUUGGUACAGUGAGGGAAGAAGCAGGGUUCCUUUGCUCUCGGGAGGAAACUUUAUCCCUUUCUAGAGCAAGAGAGACUCUCAGGGAGCAUCUAAGUGACAAGAUGAAGGUCAUGCACAGGAAAUGUGGGGACACAGCUGUCCUGCCUCCUCAGCUAGCAGUGGAACAAACUGGAGUCUUCACUUCUCUUCAAAAACAACUCAUGCUUAGUUCUCUUGGAUUUGAAAAAUAUUAUUAUAAUAUAUUAUGCUCCAGACUUGAAGAUUGGCUGGAAGAAUCAGUCUUCCUGAUUCCUCAGCCUGUCUGUCAGGGAGCAGUGGGGCUGAGGCUGCCCCUCAGGGCAAGGGGAGCUGGGAAUGAAGGUGAAGCAAGGUUGGCAGGACUGCUCCCU